rnacentral:tRNA from 2 species
AUUUGUCUAAUAUAAAAAUUAUAUUUGACUUCCAAUCAAAAAAUCCCUAAAGGGGACAAAUA